rnacentral:rRNA from 1 species
GAUGAACGCUGGCGGCGUGCUUAACACAUGCAAGUCGAACGGUGAAGCCAAGCUUGCUUGGUGGAUCAGUGGCGAACGGGUGAGUAACACGUGAGCAACCUGCCCUGGACUCUGGGAUAAGCGCUGGCAACGGCGUCUAAUACUGGAUAUGAGCCUCUUCCGCAUGGUGGGGGUUGGAAAGAUUUUUUGGUCUGGGAUGGGCUCGCGGCCUAUCAGCUUGUUGGUGAGGUAAUGGCUCACCAAGGCGUCGACGGGUAGCCGGCCUGAGAGGGUGACCGGCCACACUGGGACUGAGAGACGGCCCAGACUCCUACGGGAGGCAGCAGUGGGGAAUAUUGCACAAUGGGCGAAAGCCUGAUGCAGCAACGCCGCGUGAGGGAUGUCGGCCUUCGGGUUGUAAACCUCUUUUAGCAGGGAAGAAGCGAAAGUGACGGUACCUGCAGAAAAAGCGCCGGCUAACUACGUG